CUGGGGUCUCAGGACAGGUGCUGUUACCGCGAAACAAUAGAAAUAUCAAGGUCUGUUCUCUGCAGCACGGCUGCUGUCCCCAUUGGAGAGCGAGGGGAUGGAUGGACCAGCGCCUUAAUGAGGGGUGUCUGACAGUGGGUCCCCAAAUCCUUGGUGGUUCAGAGGCUGGAGCAAGAGCUGGGGAAGCCAAACGGUGCAGUUAUCAUAGUUCAGGAGGUGUUAAAGUUGGUGUCGACACAUCCUCAUCUGUGGGGAGAUGCAAUGGGACCCUGAAAGACGCAGAGCUCCCAGUGUUUUCUUGAGGACUUCAUGUCAUCCCUCCUCUUCCCUUUUGAUUGGAGAGGACAAGCCAUGUGUCUUUAGAGGUGGAUAUGAAUCAUAACCCAGAGGCAGCAACAACUCCCAUGGCAACAUCCAAGAACAUUUACCAGGCUCGUUUCUGGGAAAAUGACAAAUAUGAGCUACAUGUGAGCCUGAGAUCUGCUUUCCAGUAAGUCAGAAAUGGCAAAGUGUCCUAAACUUUCCUUUCCCCUACUACAAAGAGUCCAUGGAGUUACUGUAGUUCUGCUUUCAGUCCUCUUAGCCAGCAGUGAAGCUCCGCACCAAAACAACACUGAAGUGCCUGAACCACAUUUUUCGAGAUUCAGAAGAAUUUAUGAACCCAAAUCGCAUCGAUUUCCUUCCAAACCAUUACCCCAACAAUGCCCUUCUCUCCCAGCUAGGCCAGUCUCACCUCAUUUGCACUUUACUCUCUCUCCAUUUACCCCCCUCUCUAUUAUCUUUUAACUAAGGAUCGUUGCAGAUUCUCAUUCCUGGUCAUGCUUUCAGGGCCAGCAUUUUCUCUGCAAGGAGGAGCAGGAAGCACUCGGGCCUCAUCCAUCUGUGGCUGGUGGAUGCCCUGCCCCCUUUUUUCAAGACCACUCCACUUAUCUAUCUUAUCCCACUUAAAGAAUACUGCUGGUGAGCCUCCUGUUUCUGCUUCAGGGCCUGUUUAUCUGAACUGCUACCCUUACAGGCAAACACCUCUGAUGAGAAUUUAGUUCCAGUUAAAGUUUAGUUCACAUUUAAAGUUUUCUUUUAAAGGCACAGUUAUUUCUAAUGUACUCAUAUAGCUGAGGGGAAGUUUUCUGAUAUCAAAUAUUAGCUUACAUUACGGAGUUGAGAAUUUACAUAGGGAACACCAGAAAAAAAGGAGAAAGUCGGGGAAGAGCAAAUGGAAAAGGACCUUUUGAAAGGAAGAAACAGCUGGAGCCCAGCUCGAAGAGCAGAAAGACUGUAGUGCAGGGAAAAUAGAGGACAAGGUGAGAAAGGGCAAAGGAGAACUGAGAAGGGGAGCUGAUAGAUUGAGGAGGGGUGAAGACAGAGAGGGAGUGAGAGCAAAUGGAUAGAAUAGCCAGAAAAAAAAAAAAAAAGAAAAUGAAGAGCAAAUCCGAGCUUUAGUGGGUUUGGAGAACAGUAACAUUUGCUUUUUGCAAAGUUUUGGUGGUUUUUUUUUUGAAUGGAGGAAUGUCACAGAAGACCAUAAGAGAAGGCAGAAUGUCUGAGCACUACCAGUAAAGAGAAGGAGCUGUAGAUGGAUAUUACACACACAGAGGUGACUACAUCUUGAGGUCCCAAAGCACAGUGGGGCCUCACAUCUCCCUGUAGCUGGUGCUGCCUGCUGCCAUCAAUGACUUUGGCGGUUCUGAGCCCUGCUGGCAAUAGGAACUACCAGGUGUGUGGAGCACAGUGUCUCACAGGCCCUGAGAAACACAGAGGUCUCCCUGUGAGCACAAAGCAUGCUCCUUCUCCAGCACUAAUCCCAAGGGAAACAGCCAAGAGGAACUCCGGAAGGUGAAAAUGCAAUUAAAGCCAAUGAGAUGUUCUGCUAUUUAAUGGGUGCAGAGGAAAGAGGGUCUGCCUCCCGGGUCAUUCCUUUCCCACCCACAGUGAACAUGACAGACCCUCAGCCCCUGCUCCAUCCCAUCGUGCCUCUCAUGGCCCUCAUCGUUCACAACACCAACCCUUCUGAUGUCCAUGGCCAGCAAUUGAAAGACAAUUAGGUAAAUGCAUAAGUUUGGAGGGGAGGGGAUUUACACCUCCUGUUGCCCUUGCAAUGAAUUACCAGGACUGGUAAUGGGCUGCUGCCCCAGCGCCUCGUAAAUCGUGCGACUGAGGCCAUGCAGUGAUGGGUAGCUUUGAUCAGGACACGCUGCCCUGCCACCAACAGGAAAAGGAAGAGGUGAUUUUUCAAGGGUUACUACUCACUUUGGCCUCCAAGUUUUCCACUCUGUUGAAACUUUGACAGUGCCUAAUAAUCCAUCAGCAAGGCUUUCCCUGCUUUGCUUCCACUCCAUUACCACCUUCAUGUUCCCGUUUCACUUCUUUCACACGGACCCCGGAAAGGCUGACCAUGUCCCGCCAUCCCAAAGCAGCCCCGAGGGUGGGGGAAAGGGCAGGGGUGCCUCUAUGCCUUUCCCAGGAGGAAAGGAAUAAAAACCAGGAGCCAACAUGAAGGGAAGGAGUCCCUGAGUGACCACAGAUGUACCUCUGAAUCCUUGCACCUGAAGAGGAGCAGUGAGCCUCCAGGGGACCACUUGGGACCCCAGAUCAGAUGUUGCUGUUGGUGGUGAAGCCCUGAAGUGCCUCAGAAGAAAGGCAAACAAGAGGUUACCUUCAGUACUGAGCUGUCACCUGAUGUGUGAGGGUUAGAGCUCUUGGGGUCCAUCCAAGAUCCUCUAGAGGACUUGCCAUGCUGGAAGAGUAUGGGUGUUCUCCAGGUCUCUUCUCACAUCUGCCAUCCACGCCUGCUGUCUCACAUACCUCAGGAUGCUUCAAGUAGUGCGGUACAUUUGGGUACCUGAGCGCAGUCCUUUGUCCCCACCUCUUUUCACAAAACUUUGAUGCUUAGAUUUAUCCUCCAGACUCAUCCCUUCUCUUCACAGGUCCUUCCUUGUGUCUCCUAUGUAUUAGACCAACACAUUGUCUGCGUUCAAUUUUACACAUUCUGCCUUCUGAAUCGAACAAAAUCCUCAGAACUGCACUGUUUUCUUAGACUAAUGAAUUCUUUGAGAGGGGUAAAAAUCACCUCAGUAAUAAAUCCAAACUGUGAAGGCCUGAUGUAUCUGUUUUUCUGUUCACCUCCACUGCUGCUAGACAGCAUUAGCCCUCACCUAAUACAGAGCGCAGACUUGAUACAACCUUGUUUAGCACAAUUGGUUUGAAUCCAUUAUAUUGACAAUAUCAAUUUGUGUAAUUCCUGCAUUAGGAUUUUCAGCUAAACUGUAUUUGAAAGGAGCUGUUGACCUUGAUUAGCUCUUUAAUUGUGGUUAAAAUCCAAAGUAAUUCAGAUACCAGCCUUGACUGUGGAAGGGAAGGGCCAUGCCAUGUGAUGGCACAGUCAAUAACUGCUGCGUUCCCCACGGACAGAGCUCCCAUGUUAUAUUGGCUG
ensembl:lncRNA